CUCGCAGGCAAACCUGUGGCUCCUUGGAGAAGUAAUCUGACUUCGUAGCGGCAAAUGGCCCACUCUGUGGCCUGACUGGCGCCAGGGUUCCAGGAAUCAUCAGUCCUGAGACCAUUCCUGUGCCAGCGAUGGAAGCCCCAACAUAGACUUUUCCAAUAUGCACAUAGAAGUGUACAAAGGACCAACCAUCUGCAAGAAGACGUCUUCAAGAAGAGCACAGGCCAGCCAAGACUACAGAGGGAGGCCAGAUCUCUGAAGCAGUUCCUGUCAUCAUAACCUGGGGCAGGUGUCUCCUGAUCUAGGUUCUUGUUUCCUUCUCUUUAAGAUCGCCGAUGACAGUGAUUUGAAGACUCAGUGAUCUCGAGGGUCAUUCUGGAGCUGUGCUAUCUAUCAGUGCCCAACAUAGUGAUCCUGCUUGGUCAGCCAGGGGUGACAGCCACUGC
rnacentral:lncRNA from 1 species